rnacentral:rRNA from 1 species
UACGUAGGGUGCGAGCGUUAAUCGGAAUUACUGGGCGUAAAGGGCUCGUAGGCGGCCAACUAAGUCGGAUGUGAAAUCCCCAGGCUUAACCUGGGAACUGCAUCCGAUACUGGAUGGCUUGAAUCCGGGAGAGGGAUGCAGAAUUCCAGGUGUAGCGGUGAAAUGCGUAGAUAUCUGGAGGAAUACCGGUGGCGAAGGCGGCAUCCUGGACCGGCAUUGACGCUGAUGAGCGAAAGCUAGGGGAGCAAACGGG